UGUCGUGUCGUCCAAUGGCAGGACAGCGCCCUUUGGAGGCGUUAAUCUAGGUUCGAAUCCUGGCACGACAG
rnacentral:tRNA from 1 species